rnacentral:rRNA from 1 species
UGAACGCUGGCGGCGUGCCUAAUACAUGCAAGUCGAGCGAACAGAUAAGGAGCUUGCUCCUUUGACGUUAGCGGCGGACGGGUGAGUAACACGUGGGUAACCUACCUAUAAGACUGGGAUAACUUCGGGAAACCGGAGCUAAUACCGGAUAACAUUUGGAACCGCAUGGUUCUAAAGUGAAAGAUGGUUUUGCUAUCACUUAUAGAUGGACCCGCGCCGUAUUAGCUAGUUGGUAAGGUAACGGCUUACCAAGGCGACGAUACGUAGCCGACCUGAGAGG